GUGUGCAUAGUAUGUCCCAAGACAUUUUACAAUUAGAGAAUUAUGCCGCCAUUUAUAGUGUUCAGUAUUGAGACCAUUGUAUAUUUCUCAGGGUAACUUGCAGAUUAUGGGCACGCCCGAGGGUUGAAGCUUGCUAUUUACAGUGAUGUUGGGUAUGCCAAACACUAAUCUGUUCUCAUUCUGUUGCAACUAAACUCUGCAUACUUCUAUGUGAUUACUUGAGAAUACUGUUUCUAUGACAUGUCUGGCUUGCUGCUGCUGCCGAGCAAAAUCAAUGGCUUCUUCAGUUAAACAAGAUUAUGUUCUCAGGAGCAGAUCUUGGCAACUGAUGCAGAAGUUCCUACAGCUUGGUAAUAUUUUUUUGUUGGGAUGAAUUGACUCGGAAGGAAAAUCAAGCUCUUUUGACAUUUGUUGAGACUAAAGCCUAUGCAUUUACCAGUGAUUUUGUACAUACUUAUACUUAUAUUGUUUACUAAACUUUCUAUAUAUGUAUUUUGGUAAUGCA